rnacentral:rRNA from 1 species
GGUAAAUCCGGUUCACUUUAACACUGAGGCGUGAUGACGAGGCACUACGGUGCUGAAGCAACAAAUGCCCUGCUUCCAGGAAAAGCCUCUAAGCAUCAGGUAACAUCAAAUCGUACCCCAAACCGACACAGGUGGUCAGGUAGAGAAUACCAAGGCGCUUGAGAGAACUCGGGUGAAGGAACUAGGCAAAAUGGUGCCGUAACUUCGGGAGAAGGCACGCUGACACGUAGGUGAAGUGAUUUACUCAUGGAGCUGAAGUCAGUCGAAGAUACCAGCUGGCUGCAACUGUUUAUUAAAAACACAGCACUGUGCAAACACGAAAGUGGACGUAUACGGUGUGACGCCUGCCCGGUGCCGGAAGGUUAAUUGAUGGGGUCAGCGCAAGCGAAGCUCCUGAUCGAAGCCCCGGUAAACGGCGGCCGUAACUAUAACGGUCCUAAGGUAGCGAAAUUCCUUGUCGGGUAAGUUCCGACCUGCACGAAUGGCGUAAUGAUGGCCAGGCUGUCUCCACCCGAGACUCAGUGAAAUUGAACUCGCUGUGAAGAUGCAGUGUACCCGCGGCAAGACGGAAAGACCCCGUGAACCUUUACUAUAGCUUGACACUGAACAUUGAGCCUUGAUGUGUAGGAUAGGUGGGAGGCUUUGAAGUGUGGACGCCAGUCUGCAUGGAGCCGACCUUGAAAUACCACCCUUUAAUGUUUGAUGUUCUAACGUGGACCCGUGAUCCGGGUUGCGGACAGUGUCUGGUGGGUAGUUUGACUGGGGCGGUCUCCUCCUAAAGAGUAACGGAGGAGCACGAAGGUUGGCUAAUCCUGGUCGGACAUCAGGAGGUUAGUGCAAUGGCAUAAGCCAGCUUGACUGCGAGCGUGACGGCGCGAGCAGGUGCGAAAGCAGGUCAUAGUGAUCCGGUGGUUCUGAAUGGAAGGGCCAUCGCUCAACGGAUAAAAGGUACUCCGGGGAUAACAGGCUGAUACCGCCCAAGAGUUCAUAUCGACGGCGGUGUUUGGCACCUCGAUGUCGGCUCAUCACAUCCUGGGGCUGAAGUAGGUCCCAAGGGUAUGGCUGUUCGCCAUUUAAAGUGGUACGCGAGCUGGGUUUAGAACGUCGUGAGACAGUUCGGUCCCUAUCUGCCGUGGGCGCUGGAGAACUGAGGGGGGCUGCUCCUAGUACGAGAGGACCGGAGUGGACGCAUCACUGGUGUUCGGGUUGUCAUGCCAAUGGCACUGCCCGGUAGCUAAAUGCGGAAGAGAUAAGUGCUGAAAGCAUCUAAGCACGAAACUUGCCCCGAGAUGAGUUCUCCCUGAGACUUUAGGUCUCCUGAAGGAACGUUGAAGACGACGACGUUGAUAGGCCGGGUGUGUAAGCGCAGCGAUGCGUUGAGCUAACCGGUACUAAUGAACCGUGAGGCUUAACCUU